AACGAACGCUGGCGGCAUGCCUAACACAUGCAAGUCGAACGAAGGCUUCGGCCUUAGUGGCGCACGGGUGCGUAACGCGUGGGAAUCUGCCCAUUGGUUCGGAAUAACAGCUGGAAACGGCUGCUAAUACCGGAUGAUGACGAAAGCCCAAAGAUUUAUCGCCAGAGGAUGAGCCCGCGUUGGAUUAGGUAGUUGGUGGGGUAAAGGCCUACCAAGCCGACGAUCCAUAGCUGGUCAGAGAGAAUGAUCAGCCACACUUGGACUGAGACACGGCCCAGACUCCUACGGGAUGCAGCAGUGCGGAAUAUUGGACAAUGGGCGCAGGGCUGAUCGAGCUAGGCCGGGUGAGUGAUGAUGGCCGGAAGGUUGUAAAGCUCUUUUACCCGGGAAGAUAAUGACGGUACCGGAAGAAUAAGCCCCGGCUAACUCCGUG
rnacentral:rRNA from 1 species